rnacentral:misc_RNA from 1 species
GAAAUGCGAUAAGUAAUGUGAAUUGCAGAAUUCAGUGAAUCAUCGAAUCUUUGAACGCACAUUGCGACCCUUGGUAUUCCAUGGGGCAUGCCUGUUCGAGCGUCAUUUGUACCCUCAAGCUCUGCUUGGUGUUGGGUGUUUGUCCCGUCUCCGCGCGUGGACUCGCCCCAAAGUGAUUGGCAGCCGGCGUACUGGUCCCGGAGCGCAGCACAUGUCGCGCAAACGAGUGCCUUGGUACGGCGGCGUCCAUAAGCCCCUCUCUCACGCUCUUGACCUCGGAUCAGGUAGGGAUACCCGCUGAACUUAAGC